AAUACUAGUUGUUGGUGUCCUGCUGGAGCUCAGAAGAAAUCUGCUGCCUGCCAUGAGGCCAUGUCUCUCAAGUUACCGCAAUAUUAUUGCCUUCAAACCUGUCGAGACAAGGUUUCUUUACAUGGCCAUGGCCCUCAAGGAAGAAACCGACUGCAGACUGCCAACGUUCAUUCCUGUUCUGGCAAAGACGGGCCAGCAGUAACCAGCUGGGUUUUACAAAGUGAACUCAUCACAGCUUGAGCCACUCCAUGCCACAAGCAGUUGCUCGUCGAGCCACCGUGCAAAGGUUCCUUGGGGCACAAGUCCAACUCAGCGCCAUCACCUUUCUUCUGCAGUUUUUCUACCUACUUAGCUAACCAGCAGCAAGUUUAUCCUUGCAAGGCAUGUGGGAACAGCUUUCACCAGGAAACAGUGCAAGACGAGUGGUCGAAGAAAAUAAAAUUGCUUCUGUGAUCUAAAGUACUUGACGAAUAAAAUUUUGCACUCAUUUGUAUAUAUG